AGUGAACGCUGGCGGUAGGCCUAACACAUGGAAGUCGAACGGCAGCACAGUAAGAGCUUGCUCUUACGGGUGGCGAGUGGCGGACGGGUGAGGAAUACAUCGGAAUCUACUUUUUCGUGGGGGAUAACGUAGGGAAACUUACGCUAAUACCGCAUACGACCUACGGUUGAAAGCAGGGGAUCUUCUGACCUUGCGCGAUUGAAUGAGCCGAUGUCGGAUUAGCUAGUUGGCGGGGUAACGGCCCACCAAGGCGACGAUCCGUAGCUGGUCUGAGAGGAGGAUCAGCCACACUGGAACUGAGACACGGUCCAGACUCCUACGGGAGGCAGCAGUGGGGAAUAUUGGACAAUGGGCGCAAGCCUGAUCCAGCCAUACCGCGUGGGUGAAGAAGGCCUUCGGGUUGUAAAGCCCUUUUGUUGGGAAAGAAAAGCAGCAGGUUAAUACCCCGCUGUUCUGACGGUACCCAAAGAAUAAGCACCGGCUAACUUCGUG
rnacentral:rRNA from 1 species